rnacentral:rRNA from 1 species
UACGUAGGGAGCAAGCGUUGUCCGGAAUCAUUGGGCGUAAAGCGCGCGUAGGUGGCUUCGUAAGUCCGUUGUGAAAGUCAAAGGCUCAACCUUUGAAAGCCGAUGGAUACUGUGGAGCUAGAGUACGGAAGAGGCGAGUGGAAUUCCUGGUGUAGCGGUGGAAUGCGCAGAUAUCAGGAGGAAUACCAAUAGCGAAGGCAGCUCGCUGGGACGUUACUGACACUGAGGCGCGAAAGCGUGGGGAGCGAACAGG